rnacentral:rRNA from 1 species
AGCAGCCGCGGUAAUUCCAGCUCCAAUAGCGUAUAUUAAAGUUGUUGCAGUUAAAAAGCUCGUAGUUGAAUUUCGGGAUCAGUAGGUUGGUCAUGCCUUCGGUAUGUACUGGUCUCACUGAUUCCUCCCUCUUGAAGAACCGUAAUGUCAUUAAUUUGAUGUUGCGGGGAAUCAGGACUGUUACUUUGAAAAAUUAGAGUGUUUAAAGCAGGCUCACGCUUGAAUACAUUAGCAUGGAAUAAUGAAAUAGGACGUUCGAUCCUAUUUUGUUGGUUUCUAGGAUUGACGUAAUGAUUAAUAGGGAUAGUUGGGGGCAUUAGUAUUCAAUUGUCAGAGGUGAAAUUCUUGGAUUUAUUGAAGACUAACUACUGCGAAAGCAUUUGCCAAGGAUGUUUUCAUUAAUCAAGAACGAAAGUUAGGGGAUCGAAGACGAUCAGAUACCGUCGUAGU